rnacentral:sRNA from 1 species
CUCUCAUUGUGAAGCCAUCCUCAAGCCACCUGCCUACCCUUUUAUAGUCAUUAAAGUGUCCCUAUGAAUUUGGACUUUUGUUCCAAAGGACAUGGUCUCAGGGAUCAACCUAAGGAACACUAGUGAUGAGCUUCUUUAGGCCCGGCAUCAUCUCUUACUGCGCUGCUCCUCAUAGCUGUCCUCCUGGGCCCCAUCUACGUCCCCUGGAAGCAGAAGACCUGACUCUCCUUCCUUCCUCCCCUGCCACGUGGGACCCUCAUCUCUGCUGCCUCCUCCCUUUCCUGAGAGGCUCAGCUUGAGAGAAUGAGCCAGUGAGAAGCUUCUCUAGACUUGGCUCCAAACACCUCCCCUCCCAAGACAUCUGCCUGCCCACAGGCUCCUGUUGCUCCUUCACACAGACCUGGAUGCCCCAGAGCAAGGUCUUCAUUCAUGGUCCUGAGCAGGGGCCAUGGGAUUGGGCUCUGGGCACUGACUUAACGGCACCUCCCUAGAAGGUGAGAAACAUGCCAAAUCUAAACACACGAGGACUCCCAUCCAUCGCCUUGAGACUGACCAUAAACCACAGAUGCUCUCCAGGUUCUCAAGAGUUAUCCUGCCUUCCAGAUUCCUGCCUAUCCCAACUCCCCAGCCUUGCUGAGGUUCUCUAUUGCCUCUUGAAUACAAAUGCACUCCCAAAGUGGUUUUAAGAAAAUAAAAAGAUUAUCCUUCC